CUUGUAACAAAAUUUGUUACUUGUUCCGCUACGGCACUUAUUAAAGAUGUAGGUUUCAAAGACAAUUCUAAUUUAUAUGUACAUAAAUGGAUGUUGAUUUCUGAUCAACAUAAAUGGACUGCUCGACCUUCAUAGCCAAUGGUUACAAAAUCGGAUGACUAUAUAAUACCUACUUUACUGCUUCGACUGCGAAGAGCUGCAGCGGUGAGCUCUUUCGCUUGUCACCAUUGCGAAAACCACACAACGAGCUUUAGUUUGAAAGCUUGAGAAGUAAAAGUUACGCGAUACCCUACAUUAGUCAGGUAUCUUGGUUUGAGACUUAGUUAGUUAGUUCCUUUGGAAUUUUGGAAUUGCGCUGCAACCGAUUCCUCACUAAAAUGUAUAUCAAAUAAGAUUUUAUGAAUUCCAGUCAUUUCGACUGAGUCGGAGAGGAUGUUCAGCAAGGUUGGCUUAAUAGUAAGCGAGAGAAGAGCAUCACUAAAACCUAAAAAUGUGGAGAUGCUGACGUUCCUAAAUAGGAACAUAUGGAUCGCCAAAUAAAUGAGCCAAAUUUAAACGUGAACUUGGGAUCUCCAAAAAACCUUAUUUUUAAGUUACUUAUGAAGUGUACUUUACUUGAAGUAAUAUAUUUUUUUUGUAUAUAAGUUUUAUAU